UUAAAGGAUCACUAUAGGGUCAGGAACACAAACAUGUAUUCCUGAACCUAUAGUGUUAAAACCACCAUCUAGCCCCCCUGGGCCCCUCAUGCCUCCAUAAAUAUAGCAAAAUCUUACUGUAUUCAAGCCAGAAGCAGUAGAUCUACAUGCUGUUUGCCUCAAAAAAAAAAACAAGCAGUCUGCUGACAUCAUCAGAAGUGGUAGCCUGAUCCAAUCACAAUGCUUCCCCAUAGGAUUGGCUGAGACUGACAAAGAGGCAGAUCAGGG